rnacentral:rRNA from 1 species
UACGGAUGGUGCAAGCGUUAUCCGGAUUUACUGGGUUUAAAGGGUGUGUAGGCGGGCUGUUAAGUCAGCGGUGAAAUCUCCGGGCUCAACCCGGAAACUGCCAUUGAUACUAAUGGUCUUGAAUUUUGUUGAGGUAGGCGGAAUAAGUCAUGUAGCGGUGAAAUGCAUAGAUAUGACUUAGAACACCAAUUGCGAAGGCAGCUUGCUAAACAAAUAUUGACGCUGAGGCACGAAAGCGUGGGGAUCAAACAGG